AGGACGAACGCUGGCGGCGUGCUUAACACAUGCAAGUCGAGCGGAAAGGCCCUUCGGGGUACUCGAGCGGCGAACGGGUGAGUAACACGUGAGCAACCUGCCCUUAGCUCCGGGAUAGCUCCGGGAAACCGGAAUUAAUACCGGAUACGACCACGGCCGACAUCUGCUGUGGUGGAAAGGAUUCCGGCUAAGGAUGGGCUCGCGGCCUAUCAGCUAGUUGGUGGAGUAACGGCCCACAAGGCGACGACGGGUA
rnacentral:rRNA from 1 species